rnacentral:misc_RNA from 2 species
GCAUGUGAGCGGUGAUGGAUUUGUAUGCCGCGGUGGGCUCCCUGCUAUUGUGCAGUUGACCACCGACGCUGCAAGUCUCUUCAAUGGCACUCUGUUUGAAUGGAGAUGCGUGUGUUGCCUGUACAAUCUACCUAGUUCCUUUGGAAAUAGACAUUGUUUACCUUGCUUAUCCACUUCUCUUGUCCUAUAUGAAUGAGAAGUGUCGAUGUCCGUGCACCUUGUGUGUCCUCGAACGAUGGUAUGUCUCAGACCUCUCGUCUCGAGUGGCUCCAGUGUUCACGUGAGUGCUCUUGGAUGCAGUGGAUAAGAAUGUACCAUGGGUCUUUGGACUCUUGGCACAUGAUCGGUUGGCUUUCUUAGUCGCCCUUCGACGGAUGACGGCCUUCCCAUCGUUGCCCCCCUUUCCCUUGUGGUAAUGGGUCGGCAUGUUGGGCUUGGCGUCGUAGAGGACGUGCUACC